GCCAUCGAUGUCGGCUUGUUCGUCAGGAAGAAACCUUGCCAAGUGCUUCUGGUAGGAGCUGCGGCUCUCCACGCUGCCCAUCUUUUCCAGCAGACGGUGGAAUCCUAGGCUUCUGCUGCUUUUG